CCUACGGGCGGCAGCAGUGGGGAAUAUUGCGCAAUGGGCGAAAGCCUGACGCAGCGACGCCGCGUGAGGGAUGAAGGUCUUCGGAUCGUAAACCUCUGUCAGCAGGGAAGAACGGUCACUGUGCUAAUCAGCAGUGAAUUGACGGUACCUGCAAAGGAAGCACCGGCUAACUCCGUGCCAGCCGCCGCGGUAAUACGGAGGGUGCGAGCGUUAAUCGGAAUUACUGGGCGUAAAGCGCUCGUAGGCGGUAUGUCAAGUCAAGGGUGAAAUCCCCGCGCUCAACGUGGGAACUGCCUUUGAAACUGGCAAACUGGAGUGUGUGAGAGGAUAGUGGAAGUCCAGGUGUAGGAGUGAAAUCCGUAGAGAUCAGGAGGAACACCAGUGGCGAAGGCGACUAUCUGGCACAUAACUGACGCUGAGGAGCGAAAGCGUGGGUAGCAAACAGGAUUAGAUACCCCAGUAGUC
rnacentral:rRNA from 1 species